CCUACGGGCGGCAGCAGUGGGGAAUAUUGCACAAUGGUGGGAACCCUGAUGCAGCGACGCCGCGUGGGUGAAGGAGUACUUCGGUACGGAAAGCCCUAUCAGCAGGAAAGAAAAUGACGGUACCUGACUAAGAAGCCCCGUCUAACUACGUGCCAGCAGCCGCGGUAAUACGGAAGGCCCGAGCGUUAUCCGGAUUCAUUGGGCUUAAAGGGAGCGUAGGCGGGCGUUCAAGUCAGCUGUAAAAGCGCGCGGCUCAACCGCGCCCCGCAGUUGAAACUGGACGCCUUGAGUUCACAACAGGCAGGCGGAAUUCGUGGUGUAGCGGUGAAAUGCAUAGAUAUCACGAGGAACCCCGAUUGCGAAGGCAGCCUGCCGGGGCGCGACUGACGCUGAGGCUCGAAGGUGCGGGUAUCAAACAGGAUUAGAUACCCUAGUAGUC
rnacentral:rRNA from 1 species